CUACGGGUGCUUAAACUCAGAGGACUUGGAGGCUUGCUUACUACUUAGGGGAAUAUGUGCCUUAAUCCGAUUAUCCCCGAAUAAUCUUACUGGGCCUUGAACUGCCGAUGUAUUGCCCUUGACACCUUGUUGAGGAACCAGCUUAACCGUGAAUUCUCGUCGAAAUAUCGCCAAUGGCUCAAGGGAGUAGGUGUUACAAACUACGGAGAAAUUGAAGGUGAACUUACCACUAAGGGAGAAUUAAUAUGUCCCCCUGAACUGUCUCUGACUUGUG
rnacentral:rRNA from 1 species